rnacentral:rRNA from 9 species
UUUUGUUAACUAUUUCUAGAAAAACAUAGCUCUAACACCGUACUGAACCAACACUGGAUGACUUUUUAUAUUAGGUGAUUAGGAUAAUUAUUCUUAAGGAACUCGGCAAAACUCUUCUGUAACUUCGGGAUAAAGAAGACCUACAAAGGUACAAAACAAGGGAUAGCGACUGGUUAAUAAAACCACAAGACUUUGCUAAAUUGCAAAAUGAUGUAUAAGGUCUGAUGCCUGCCCAAUGUCGCAUUGUUAAAAAAAAUAAUUCGCGUUAUUUUUCUAAGCUUCGAUGAAUGGCAGUCGUAACUCUAACGAUUCAAAGGUAGCGAAAUUCCUAGUCAAUUAAUUGUUGACCCGCAUGAAUGGCAUAACGACUUUCCCACUGUCUCAAGAAUAACCCUAGUGAAUUUAGAUUUUGUGUGAAGAUACACAAACACAGAAGUAAGACGGAAAGACCCUAUAAACCUUUACUGUAAUUUUUCAUUGUUAAUGUGUAUAUUUUGUGUAGAAUAAGUGGGAGCUGUUAUUAAGUCUCAAUGUAAUAGUUGAUUACUGAAGCAAAUUAUGAAAUACCACUCUAAAUAUACCCAUUAGCUUAUAAUUUUUGACAUUGAAAAUUUUAUAGUUUAACUGGGGCGGUAGUCUCCAAAAAUGUAACGGAGAUCUGCAAAAACAAGUUCAGAUUCAAUUUAUUGAAUUGCAGAGCAUAAUGGCAAAUACUUGUUUGACUGGAAGAGUUACAACUCCACCAGAGAUAUUGAGUCGGUCAUAGUGAUCCGAAAAUUAUACAUGGGUAUAUUUUCGCAUAAGGGAUAAAAGGUACUUUAGGGAUAACAGGCUUAUGAUUCUCGAGAGUUCAUAUCGACAGGAUCGUUUGGCACCUCGAUGUCGACUCUUCGCAUCCUGGAGCCGCAAAAGGUUCCAAAGGUUCGGCUGUUCGCCGAUUAAAGCGGAACGUGAGUUGGGUUUAGAACGUUGUAAAACAGUUUGGUCCCUAUCUGCUUUUGUUGUAAAAAAGUGAAAAGUUUUAUCUUUAGUACGAGAGGACCAAGA